rnacentral:rRNA from 1 species
AUACGGAGGAUGCGAGCGUUAUCCGGAUUUAUUGGGUUUAAAGGGUGCGUAGGCUGUGCGUUAAGUCAGGGGUGAAAUGCCGUCGCUCAACGACGGAGCUGCCCUUGAUACUGGCGUGCUGGAGUACGGAUGCCGUUGGUGGAAUGAGUGGUGUAGCGGUGAAAUGCUUAGAUAUCACUCAGAACACCGAUUGCGAAGGCAUCUGGCGAAUCCGUCACUGACGCUGAGGCACGAAAGCGUGGGGAUAGAACAGGAUUAGAUACCCUGGUAUUCCACGCCGUAAACGAUGAUGACGAACGGUCGGCGAUAGACAGCCGGUGGCCAAGCGAAAGCGAUAAGUCCUCCACCUGGGGAGUACGGCGGCAACGAUGAAACUCAAAGGAAUUGGCGGGG